UACGUAGGGUGCGAGCGUUGUCCGGAAUUAUUGGGCGUAAAGAGCUCGUAGGCGGUCUGUCGCGUCGAUCGUGAAAACUUGGGGCUUAACCCUGAGCUUGCGGUCGAUACGGGCAUGACUGGAGUUCGGCAGGGGAGACUGGAAUUCCUGGUGUAGCGGUGAAAUGCGUAGAUAUCUGGAGGAACACCGGUGGCGAAGGCGGCAUCCUGGACCGGUAUUGACGCUGAUGCGCCGAAAGCCAGGGGAGCAAACGGG
rnacentral:rRNA from 1 species